GCCUAGGCCCCAGAUUGCAACCUAGAACCCUGUGUUAAAUACCCUGGCUCACUAUAUGAGAUGUGAGGAGAGUUAUGCACCUCAUAAUAUGCGUUGAACCAGCAGCUCCUCAAAAUCAGCAUGGUCAUUAGGAAGCCAACAGGAAACACUGAGGCCAGCAGUGUGUCUUAAAUGAGGCCUCUUUCUCAGGGCUGGAGGGCUGUCUUUGAAAUUUGUCUGCUUGAAAUCUGCAGCCUGAUACCCAUUCCAGAAGAUGUUACCCUGCCUGUACUUCCUACCAGUGAUGUGGAGUCUGACACUGAAGACCCUUCACCACCCUCUCUUCACACCAACUAAACAUUCAUCACCACCCUGUGCUUGUGUGUACUGUCUGCUGUUGGUAUGGCACUACCAGAAUAGGGAGUACCCUGAAAAUGGGAGCGAUGCGUGGAGACUGCUUCCAGGGAUGGAAGGACAGAUGUACACAUCCUAGAGUACCAAAGAACUUGCAAGAAGUAGCUGCCAUCAAUAUUAAGCAUUUGUGAAAGGACCUUCUACUUCCUUACAUGAAAUUACAUGUAACCAUCCCCUUGUUUAAAACUAAUUCUGCUAGUACUUGUCAUUCCUGGAAGCACAACGUUCAUCAUGAAACUGGAAUGUUGUAACUGACUGACAGGAUGUUACAAAAUGUGGAGUAUUUAGAAUGAUUUACUGGUCCCCAAAGUUUAAAUGAUUUUGAGGGAACAACAUAAGGGAGUCUUUUUGGGUUAGUUGAACUAUGUAUGCCUCUUUCCUUCUCUCUCUCCUCUCAGGUUCCAGACUCUGUCCUCUUGAUUAUAGCAGGAUUCAGUCUCUUAUCUGCUUUUUCUGAAACAAUACUAAUACUAGAAGAAUGCUAAUAUUUUGUCUUAACAACAUCUCUCCUGGUGACCAGUUUUGGCCAUGUGGGGAAAAAAGAAAGAACUCGUCUCUCCUGCUUAUUUAAAAGCUCUUUCUGUAUUCAUUUCUUUUGGCAUUCUCAAAAUUAUCUUUGAAAUACUGUCACAUCCUCUUAUCAGAUAUGUAUGGAUGGCUGCCAUUAUCUUUUUAGUGGGAUUUAGCCUUAUAAAUUUAAGAGCAGAUUUUGGCCCUAGUAUAGCUUUUCUCUAUCUUCAUUGUACCACCCUAAACAAAGAUUAAUCCCAAGAUAGUUAUGUAUUUAAAACCCUGAUCAUUAUGCACCAUAUUGUCUCAUUUUUCUUGGCUUUCUAAAUGAAAUUUUCAUGUAUUGGGAGUUCUAAUUUAACUCCUAGAAUAAAAACAGGCCCCUCUGCUCAGUAAUUCUAGGAAGCAAUGCUUUUCAAUGAUUUGCACUCACAGCAAAAUUAAGUUAAGAGUCUGUAACUGGCAUAAAUGCUUACU